rnacentral:rRNA from 1 species
AGUCGAACGAUGAAGCCUUUCGGGGUGGAUUAGUGGCGAACGGGUGAGUAACACGUGGGCAAUCUGCCCUUCACUCUGGGACAAGCCCUGGAAACGGGGUCUAAUACCGGAUAACACUCUGUCCCGCAUGGGACGGGGUUAAAAGCUCCGGCGGUGAAGGAUGAGCCCGCGGCCUAUCAGCUUGUUGGUGGGGUAAUGGCCUACCAAGGCGACGACGGGUAGCCGGCCUGAGAGGGCGACCGGCCACACUGGGACUGAGACACGGCCCAGACUCCUACGGGAGGCAGCAGUGGGGAAUAUUGCACAAUGGGCGAAAGCCUGAUGCAGCGACGCCGCGUGAGGGAUGACGGCCUUCGGGUUGUAAACCUCUUUCAGCAGGGAAGAAGCGAAAGUGACGGUACCUGCAGAAGAAGCGCCGGCUAACUACGUGCCAGCAGCCGCGGUAAUACGUAGGGCGCAAGCGUUGUCCGGAAUUAUUGGGCGUAAAGAGCUCGUAGGCGGCUUGUCACGUCGGAUGUGAAAGCCCGGGGCUUAACCCCGGGUCUGCAUUCGAUACGGGCUAGCUAGAGUGUGGUAGGGGAGAUCGGAAUUCCUGGUGUAGCGGUGAAAUGCGCAGAUAUCAGGAGGAACACCGGUGGCGAAGGCGGAUCUCUGGGCCAUUACUGACGCUGAGGAGCGAAAGCGUGGGGAGCGAACAGGAUUAGAUACCCUGGUAGUCCACGCCGUAAACGUUGGGAACUAGGUGUUGGCGACAUUCCACGUCGUCGGUGCCGCAGCUAACGCAUUAAGUUCCCCGCCUGGGGAGUACGGCCGCAAGGCUAAAACUCAAGGAAUUGACGGGGGCCCGCACAAGCAGCGGAGCAUGUGGCUUAAUUCGACGCAACGCGAAGAACCUUACCAAGCUUGACAUAUACCGGAAAGCAUCAGAGAUGGUGCCCCCUUGUGGUCGGUAUACAGGUGGUGCAUGGCUGUCGUCAGCUCGUGUCGUGAGAUGUUGGGUUAAGUCCCGCAACGAGCGCAACCCUUGUUCUGUGUUGCCAGCAUGCCCUUCGGGGUGAUGGGGACUCACAGGAGACUGCCGGGGUCAACUCGGAGGAAGGUGGGGACGACGUCAAGUCAUCAUGCCCCUUAUGUCUUGGGCUGCACACGUGCUACAAUGGCCGGUACAAUGAGCUGCGAUGCCGCGAGGCGGAGCGAAUCUCAAAAAGCCGGUCUCAGUUCGGAUUGGGGUCUGCAACUCGACCCCAUGAAGUCGGAGUUGCUAGUAAUCGCAGAUCAGCAUUGCUGCGGUGAAUACGUUCCCGGGCCUUGUACACACCGCCCGUCACGUCACGAAAGUCGGUAACACCCGAAGCCGGUGGCCCAACCCCUUGUGGGAGGGAGCUUC